rfam:Triticum urartu cultivar G1812 contig1430072, whole genome shotgun sequence.
UACCGACAUCAGCGAUUCGUUUUGCGAACCGGCCCCGACAGCGAGAUAGGCGUUCAUGCCCAGCUCUUUCAUCUGCUGUUCGCCGAUGACGCGGGUGGUGACAUUUUUGCUGAAGGCAUCCGCCAGCUGACGCGCCUGUGACGCCAGAUAGGCGGCGUUACAGAUAUUAGGUGGCAUGUUGCCGAGAUCUUUAGC